CACCGCCCCUCCUCGGUGACCCUUUGUCUCUUCCCGGCGGGCCCGGGUCCGGUGGCCCAGGACCGAGGAAGUCCACUCGUGUCGGACAGGACUUCCCCUGGGCAGUGGAAACGUGGAAAGGCCAAGAAGGAAAACGAGGCGGUGCAGCAAUCCCCGCUCAGCAGGGGAACUGGCCACCGAGGCAGGGACCGCGGCUUAGAGGGAGAUGGGAGGCCCUCCGAGGGACCCCACAAAGGACCCCGGCCCCAGCCCUGUCGGCGGACCCUCCUGCGCUGAGAAGGCGGCGGCCACCACCCCCGAGAAAGCCCGGGGCGCUCUCAGCACGACGCGUCAGCUCCGCCGGGGGAGCGCCUCGCACUCGGAGGGUGGACGGCUGGGCCUUUGCUCUGAGGCCUGUGCUUUAUCCAGCGGCUGCUUUUAUUCCAGGCGGUCUCUGGUCGGCACUGGUGUCCCCGUGGACACCGAAGGUCGCGGUGACAGCCGCUGUGGAGGUGACUCCGGGAAAUCUCACUCUGGUUUCGAGCUGGGCAGAAAUCGGAGUCGCCAGACCGCUCCAGCGAGCGGCGUCGUGGAGGUCCCGCCCGCGGUCUGCAGGCGGCUGUUCCUGGGCCAAAGGGGACACGUGUCUACAGCCGGGCUGCGGCUGGACUCCAGGGAGAAGGUGCGACCGGCCGCGGGGUGGGGAGGCGACUUCCUCCUCGCUGGCAGAGCCUCGGCCUGAAGCCCGGCGGGCCCCAGCACUGCGCAGAGCGUUUUCCAGGCCUCAGGGCCUCGCAGGGCUUCAUCUUUCCAAGUGAGAGCGCUCACCAGGCUUGCCUAGCAGGCGUCCACGCGGGGAGCGCCCGUGGAGCUGGCGAAGGACUGACAGCUGCGUGUGGGAGACGAGUCUGGGGAGGAUGGGAGACAGAGAACCGACAGCACAGCCUCCCCGGGUUUGGGAGGCCAGGGCUCCUGCCCCUGGAGCCUCCAUCCCAUAGGCACCCACAGUUACACAGGACGCAGAGGCCCUAGUCUGGCCUGUGUUCUUGCACUUUCCUUUCUGGGUCGGAGGGAGGUGGGUUGGUGGUUGCAAGCGCGUGAAAACGAGGGCAGGCGCCUUUUUGGCUCCCUUGGAGUGAAAGAGCGGGAAGGAAAACAAACCCCACUUUCCCUUGAGGAGGGGUCUGCAGGGAUGGGAUGGAAAAAACGAACACCAAGAAAAAGCACUAUUUAAGAGGUUACAUGAGUUGAACGUGGCUUUCCUUAGAAGAAAAGUAGGACGGGAGAAGGGAAUUUCUGUUUUUCUCAAGCUGCUUCAGACAUGUAAUUGAGAAAAAUAUAUAGUGAGUAAAAAGCUCAUAUUUUGUAUAUGUGAAGUGAUUGAAGUCCUUCAUUUGUACUUUGCAUUUAUACUUUUGUAAUUAUAUGUUUUGCUCCUUACAGAUUCACUUAUUUGACUAUUUGACCAUCAUAAGAAAUUUAGGAAGUAAAUUUGAUUAGAUUGUCAAGCCAAAAUAAACCCAAGCCUUAUAUAUGCCAGAAUAUUAUGCUGUUAUUAUUUUCAACAUUAGGAGAGAAUCUGAAAUGAAAUAUAUAAUGGUUUUUAUAUCGAAUCAUCCAACUAUUCUAAUUUGUCUAAGGAUCUAACUUGAUUAAAAAUAAAUUAUAACAAACUUUUUCAAUGCCAUUAUAUAUUAAAUAUUUGAAUUCUUUAAAUAAAAGUAUUCAAGAUUCCCAGCUUCAACAACAUCACAAGGCCCUAUGCA
rnacentral:lncRNA from 1 species